GUCAGGUGUGGCCGUACUCACCUGUAAUCCCAGCUACUCAGGAGGCUGAGGCAGGAGGAAGACUUGAGCCCAGGAGUUCAAAAUCAGCCUGAGCAACAUAGUGAGACCCCAUCUCAC
rnacentral:sRNA from 1 species